AAACCUAAUUGGCCUGAAGAAGAGCUUGCGUCUGAUUAGCUAGUUGGUGGGGUAAGAGCCUACCAAGGCGACGAUCAGUAGCUGGUCUGAGAGGAUGAGCAGCCACACUGGGACUGAGACACGGCCCAGACUCCUACGGGAGGCAGCAGUGGGGAAUUUUCCGCAAUGGGCGAAAGCCUGACGGAGCAACGCCGCGUGAGGGAGGAAGGUCUUUGGAUUGUAAACCUCUUUUGAUAGGGAAGAAGACAGUGACGGUACCUAUCGAAUCAGCCUCGGCUAACUCCGUGCCAGCAGCCGCGGUAAUACGGAGGAGGCAAGCGUUAUCCGGAAUUAUUGGGCGUAAAGAGUCCGUAGGUGGGUGACCAAGUCAGUUGUUAAAUAGUGAAGCUUAACUUCAUAGAGGCGACUGAAACUGGUCAUCUAGAGUGUGGUAGGGGUAGAGGGAAUUACCAGUGUAGCGGUGAAAUGCGUAGAUAUUGGAAAGAACACCGGUGGCGAAAGCGCUCUACUGGGCCUGCACUGACACUGAGGGACGAAAGCUAGGGGAGCGAAAGGGAUUAGAUACCCCUGUAGUCCUA
rnacentral:rRNA from 1 species